rnacentral:misc_RNA from 1 species
GACAGAGGGUGCAAGCGUUGUUCGGAAUCAUUGGGCGUAAAGCGCGCGUAGGCGGCUUUGCAAGUCGGAUGUGAAAGCCCAGGGCUCAACUCUGGAAGUGCAUCCGAAACUGCAUCGCUUGAGUCCCGGAGAGGGUGGUGGAAUUCCCAGUGUAGAGGUGAAAUUCGUAGAUAUUGGGAGGAACACCGGUGGCGAAGGCGACCACCUGGACGGAGACUGACGCUGAGGUGCGAAAGCGUGGGGAGCAAACAGG